AGACGGGACCCGCACAAGCGGUGGAUGAUGUGGUUUAAUUCGAUGCAACGCGAAAACCUUACCCACCUUUGACAUGGCAGGAAUCCUGAAGAGAUUUGGGAGUGCUCGAAAGAGAACCUGCACACAGGUGCUGCAUGGCUGUCGUCAGCUCGUGUCGUGAGAUGUUGGGUUAAGUCCCGCAACGAGCGCAACCCUUGUCAUUAGUUGCUACAUUCAGUUGGGCACUCUAAUGAGACUGCCGGUGACAAACCGGAGGAAGGUAGGGAUGACGUCAAGUCCUCAUGGCCCUUAUAGGUGGGGCUACACACGUCAUACAAUGGAUGGUACAAAGGGUCGCCAACCCGCGAGGGGGAGCCAAUCCCAUAAAGCCAUUCGUAGUCCGGAUCGCAGUCUGCAACUCGACUGCGUGAAGUCGGAAUCGCUAGUAAUCGUGAAUCAGAAUGUCACGGUGAAUACGUUCCCGGGCCUU
rnacentral:rRNA from 1 species